UCCCUAGUGGUCCAGUGGUUAGGAUUUGGUGCUGUCACUGCUGUGGCCCAGGUUCAAUCCCUGGUUGGGGAA